GACAGAGGGUGCAAACGUUGUUCGGAAUUACUGGGCGUAAAGCGCAUGUAGGCGGCCUAGCAGGUCGGAUGUGAAAUCCCUCGGCUCAACCAAGGAAGUGCAUUCGAAACCGCAAGGCUGGAGUCCCGGAGAGGGUGGUGGAAUUCUCGGUGUAGAGGUGAAAUUCGUAGAUAUCGAGAGGAACACCGGCGGCGAAGGCGGCCAUCUGGACGAGGACUGACGCUGAGAUGCGAAAGCGUGGGGAGCAAACAGG
rnacentral:rRNA from 1 species